rnacentral:rRNA from 1 species
AUUGAACGCUGGCGGCAGGCCUAACACAUGCAAGUCGAGCGGUAGAGAGAAGCUUGCUUCUCUUGAGAGCGGCGGACGGGUGAGUAAUGCCUAGGAAUCUGCCUGAUAGUGGGGGAUAACGUCCGGAAACGGACGCUAAUACCGCAUACGUCCUACGGGAGAAAGUGGGGGAUCUUCGGACCUCACGCUAUCAGAUGAGCCUAGGUCGGGUUAGCUAGUUGGUGGGGUAAAUGCUCACCAAGGCGACGAUCCGUAACUGGUCUGAGAGGAUGAUCAGUCACACUGGAACUGAGACACGGUCCAGACUACUACGGGAGGCAGCAGUGGGGAAUAUUGGACAAUGGGCGAAAGCCUGAUCCAGCCAUGCCGCGUGUGUGAAGAAGGUCUUCGGAUUGUAAAGCACUUUAAGUUGGGAGGAAGGGUCGUUACCUAAUACGUGACGAUUUUGACGUUACCGACAGAAUAAGCACCGGCUAACUCUGUGCCAGCCGCCGCAGUAACAC